AUGGCCGUCGUCGGGAGUUGGAAGAAGAGAGGCGUGUCUGGACCUGAUGAAAGGAUUAUACCGAGCAAAAGCAACUAUCUGCAAGUCUGCAUCGCAAGAGCAACCGACAACAGCAAUAACAAUCUAUUUGCCCCUGUUAAUGGUUUUACAUUUGACUCGUGUAAAGAAGCAUAUGAGAUGUACAAUCUUUUUUCAUGGGAGAACGGUUUUGGGAUCCGGCAUGGCAAGACCAGGAUAAAUGAGGCGAAGUACAAAACUAUGCAUCAGAUAGUCUGCCAAUGCCAAGUAUUAUUCGUACCUUUUUUAACUGACUUUUAG
rnacentral:rRNA from 1 species